GGUACGCCAUGUGCGACUGACGUGUUUUCCGUUUGCUCCCGCAGUAUUCUUAAAGUUUAUGUGAAUUUUGCAGCAGAACUGUAUUUGUUUUCAAAUAUUAGUUUGGUGAUCCCUUUCCGUAAAAACCAAGACUACUUUGCUUUCGAAUGUCAGCAUGUCGACGAAACAUACGGCCAAAAACCUGACUUUGAGAAAACCCGGCCUACAAGACCCACUCUCAUCACCGCCCUCUCCUGAGUCUGAAGGCCCGGGGACUCACACUUUACCCGGGGGUGCGGAUUGGCCUGGCGGCGCUGAAAUGAACAUUCUUCGAGGCCAUCAAGCUACUACGCACUGAGAUAGUUGAAAUGAAAACGGAGGUAGUUGCUACGAUUGAGGCCCGAAUACAGGAGGUUUCUGAUACUUUAAAAGCAGAUUUACAUUUUAGUCAUUUAGCAGGCAUUCUUAUCCAGAGCAACUUACAGUAGUGAAUGCAUACAUUUCAUUCAUUCAUUGUUUUUUUUUUUGUACUGGCCCCCCGUGGGAAUUGAACCCACAACCCUGGCGUUGCAACGCCAGCAUGGUGUGUGCAAACACAAGAAUUGCCGUCUAACCAUCCUGCGAAAGGAGACGGUGCCAGCAAUCACAUCACUCAAAACAACAACAGAGUUGCACACUACAACGAUUGCAGCACUGGAGACCUCCGCUACCAAUGUCUCCGACUUAACUACCUCUCUGGAGGCUGAUGUGAAACGCCUGGAUGCGGAUUUGGAAAAGGUGCAGGAGAGUUGUGAGUUUAGAGGGAUUCUCUUGCCGCAAUAACCUGAGACUGGUAUCGGUCCCAGAGUCAGUGGAAGUGCCACGGAUUUAAUUUCUGGGCUGCUGAAGGAUGCUCUUGCCUUGGAUGAGAAGUCCCUGAUUGAUCGUGCCCACCGGUUGCUGCGCCCAAAGUCCCGGGAUGGUGAGAGGCCCUGUGACAUAAUUCUUCGAGUGCACUUUUUCCAUGAGAAGAUGGAGAUUCUCAGACGAGCCCGUCUGAAUACCACUCAAUACCACUCUGAGCUUUCAAGGACAGAGCUUCUCUAUCUACCAGGACUACUCCCCCACUGUUUCCAGGCAGCGCGCAGCUUUUGGGCAGGCCAAACGACUACUACAGGACCAUCCAGGUGUGAAGUAUGGACUGCGAUUCCCGGCCCGUUAAUGGCUAUCUCAUGAUGGUAAAGACUACACAUUUGAGUCUCCGGAUGAGGCUAUGGCUCACAUUCAAUGUCACAUCAAGAAGUCUUGAACUUGCUCAUAGAUCAGCAACUGUUGCUUGUGAGCUGUGGAUAGUUCUGACCAUUUCUGGCGGCCCCUGAGCCAGCCUGCCGUACCAUUCUGCCUGCCCUGACCCCGAGCCUGCCUGCCGUCCUGUACUUAUCUGACUCUGACCUGGUUUACGAACUUCUGCUGCCCUGACCCUGAGCCUGCCUGCCGCCCAGUACCUAUCGGACUCAGACCUGGUUACGAACCUCUGCCUGUCCUUUACCUGCCCUUUGCCUGCCUCCUGUGGUUUAAUAAACUACUCUGUGUAUUGAA